rnacentral:rRNA from 1 species
AGUGAACGCUGGCGGUAGGCCUAACACAUGCAAGUCGAACGGCAGCACAGUAAGAGCUUGCUCUUACGGGUGGCGAGUGGCGGACGGGUGAGGGAUACAUCGGAAUCUACUUUUUCGUGGGGGAUAACGUAGGGAAACUUACGCUAAUACCGCAUACGACCUACGGGUGAAAGCAGGGGAUCUUCGGACCUUGCGCGAUUGAAUGAGCCGAUGUCGGAUUAGCUAGUUGGCGGGGUAAAGGCCCACCAAGGCGACGAUCCGUAGCUGGUCUGAGAGGAUGAUCAGCCACACUGGAACUUAGACACGGUCCAGACUCCUACGGGAGGCAGCAGUGGGGAAUAUUGGACAAAGGGCGCAAGCCUGAUCCAGCCAUACCGCGUGGGUGAAGAAGGCCUUCGGGUUGUAAAGCCCUUUUGUUGGGAAAGAAAAGCAGCAGGUUAAUACCCCGCUGUUCUGACGGUACCCAAAGAAUAAGCACCGGCUAACUUCGUG